rnacentral:rRNA from 1 species
GAUGAACGCUGGCGGCGUGCCUAAUACAUGCAAGUCGAGCGAACAGACGAGGAGCUUGCUCCUCUGACGUUAGCGGCGGACGGGUGAGUAACACGUGGAUAACUUAGCUAUAAGACUGGGAUAACUUCGUGAAACCGGAGCUAAUACCGUAUAAUAUAUUGAACUUCAUUGUUCAAUAGUGAAAGAUUGUUUUGCUGACACUUAUAGCUGGAUCCUCGCCGCAUUAGCUAGUUGCUAAUGUAACGGCUUACCAAGGCAACGAUGCGCAGCCCACCUGAGAGGGGGAUCGGCAACACUGGAACUGAGACACGGUCCAGACUCCUACGGGAGGAAGCAGUAGGGAAUCUUCCGCAAUGGGCGAAGGCUUGACGGAGCAACGCCGCGUAAGUGAUGAAGGUCUUGGGAUCGUAAAACUCUGUUAUUAGGGAAGAACAAAUGUGUAAGUAAAUAUGCACGUCUUGACGGUACCUAAUCAGAAAGCCACGGCUAACUACGUG